UACGUAGGGUGCAAGCGUUAAUCGGAAUUACUGGGCGUAAAGCGUGCGCAGGCGGUUUCGUAAGUCUGUCGUGAAAUCCCCGGGCUUAACCUGGGAAUGGCGAUGGAGACUGCGAGGCUAGAGUUUGGCAGAGGGGGGUAGAAUUCCUGGUGUAGCAGUGAAAUGCGUAGAUAUCAGGAGGAACACCGAUGGCGAAGGCAGGUCUCUGGGCUGACACUGACGCUCAUGCACGAAAGCGUGGGGAGCAAACAGG
rnacentral:rRNA from 1 species